UGGGGAAUAUUGCACAAUGGGCGAAAGCCUGAUGCAGCAACGCCGCGUGAGUGAUGAAGGCCUUCGGGUUGUAAAGCUCUGUCUUCUGGGACGAUAAUGACGGUACCAGAGGAGGAAGCUGCGGCUAACUACGUGCCAGCAGCCGCGGUAAUACGUAGGCAGCAAGCGUUGUUCGGAGUUACUGGGCGUAAAGAGUGCGUAGGCGGUUUUCUAAGUUCGGUGUGAAAUCUCCCGGCUUAACUGGGAGGGUGCGCCGAAGACUGGGAAGCUGGAGUGUGGGAAAGGCAGGCGGAAUUCCUGGUGUAGCGGUGAAAUGCGUAGAGAUCGGGAGGAACAUCUGUGGCGAAGGCGACUGCCUGGACCAGCACUGACACUGAGGCACGAAAGCGUGGGGAGCAAACA
rnacentral:rRNA from 1 species